AUUCGAUGAUACGCGAGGAACCUUACCCGGGCUUGAACUGCAGGAGAACGAUCCAGAGAUGGUGAGGCCCUUCGGGGCUCCUGUGGAGGUGCUGCAUGGUUGUCGUCAGCUCGUGCCGUGAGGUGUCGGCUUAAGUGCCAUAACGAGCGCAACCCCUGCCUAUAGUUGCCAUCGGGUCAUGCCGGGCACUCUGUAGGGACUGCCACCGCAAGGUGUGAGGAAGGUGGGGAUGACGUCAAAUCAGCACGGCCCUUACGUCCGGGGCUACACACGUGUUACAAUGGGGGGUACAGCGAGUCGGUCGUAUGCAAAUGCGAUCCAAUCAUGAAAGCCUCCCUCAGUUCGGAUUGGGGUCUGCAACCCGACCCCAUGAAGCUGGAUUCGCUAGUAAUCGCGCAUCAGCCAUGGCGCGGUGAAUACGUUCCCGGGCCUUGUACACACCGCCCGUCAAGCCAUGAAAGCCGGGGGCGCCUGAAGUCCGUGACCGCGAGGGUCGGCCAAGGGUAAGACAAGUGACUGGGGCU
rnacentral:rRNA from 1 species